UACGUAGGGUCCGAGCGUUGUCCGGAAUUACUGGGCGUAAAGAGCUCGUAGGUGGUUUGUCGCGUUGUUCGUGAAAACUCACAGCUCAACUGUGGGCGUGCGGGCGAUACGGGCAGACUAGAGUACUGCAGGGGAGACUGGAAUUCCUGGUGUAGCGGUGGAAUGCGCAGAUAUCAGGAGGAACACCGGUAGCGAAGGCAGAUCUCUGGGCAUUACUGACGCUGAGGAGCGAAAGCGUGGGGAGCGAACAGG
rnacentral:rRNA from 1 species